CUUUUCCUUUUAAAAAUCUUUCCUGUGAAAAUACACAUGAACUUUUUUUGCAGGUGGUUGAUUUAGUUUCUCCUUACAUAUUGCAGAGACUAGGAGGAGCAUCAAUGACCCUGUGACUUCACUAUAGGGCACAAAUGAGUGCCCACCUUCCAUUCUACAGCCUUGGGUAAAUCCAUGGAAUAUUGGAGCUGUAAUCAUUCUAAGAGCCUCCAGGUGUGAGAGAACCAUUGUAGUUAUUGGAAAUGACCAAACUUCAGGGGCACUGGAUGUGUCCUCCGCCGCCAGCUGUAGCGUCCCCAGGCAGCCCCGGACGACCCCGGAGAGUGUCCCGGACUCAAACUGCCACCCGGCACAGGGAGCAAGAGCCUACAAGACUGUGCCUCGGGGUCAGCCAGUGCCUCGUGCGUCUUUCUUGGACAGGGAAUCGGCGGGUCUUUCAUUUGGCGAGCCAGCCAGGAGAACUCCUGUAACCCCAUCCGGAUCCCUGCCCGAGGAACACCCAAUAACCACUGGGAGGUAAGCUGGCCAGUUCGUGUCAUUUUGUGUCUCUCUCUGUCUGGUUGUUAUCUUGUUAUCUGUUCAUGCGCAGCGUCUGUACGAUUACGCGUAAUUGCUCUGUAUUCUGGGCAGCUUGAGAAGGAGUUGACGAACUCGGACUUCUCCCCUGCCACCCUGGGAGACGUCCCAGGGGCUCAGGGAGGCCCAUCUUGGGGGGCCUCCAAUGUUCUGUAGAGUACACUGUACUCGUGGGUGACGGAGGUGACGGUAUCCCUCCUCUCCCUAAUCCGUCAGGUACGUUCGGUUUGUGCUCGAGCCGCGCAGCGUUCUCUGUGUCCAGUCUGAUAUUUGUGUCUGUCUUCUUGCCUUUGCACUUUCUCACUCCAUCAAAGACUAACAUGGGGCAAUCCAUAACAACUCCUUUGAGUCUCACCCUUGACCAUUGGCAGGACGUCCGAAAUCGGGCAGACAACCAGUCAGUAAAAGUUAAGAAGAAAAAAAAAAAAAGCGGCUCAGGGGCACCCGGCCCUCUCCCUCCCUCGUGGGGGUAGAAGGGAACGGGUCCCCAAACCUCCCGAGUGUUAUCACAGGGCCAAGGAAGCGAACGGGUCUUCCUGGAGUCGGGCUGCUUGGAAAUGCAGCCCAAGGCAGAUGAUAAAUUCCAUCUAAGGCUGAAUACUGAGACUAGAGAAGCAAUGUUUUCUUUUCCCCCCCCAUAACCGGCUUGAGUGCAAAUAGAGAUGCCUGCUGGGGAUUUAAUAACUUUGACAUCUCGCUUUGACUUUUCUCAAAGCCCUGUCCUCAUUAUUAAAUUGGUGUUAAUUGGUUUUAGAGAUGGGAACCAAAUUUUCAGUCACAAAUUUUGACACUCUCAAGGGGACUUUUAAGGAGUCCCCACUCUGCUUUCUUGGGGAAGCCUAGCACUCAAAACAACUGCAAGCAGAGGAUGGACUUUUUGGGAGCUGGCUACUAAAAAGUUAAAAAAAAAAAAUGCCUAAUGCCUAAGGUCAAACCAAACUGGAGGAACUGAUCCUAUGGGUGAAAGAUAGGAUUAAGGGACUCCCAGCAGCUGCCAGAGCCAUUUAGCUCUGGGGAGUUCCCUGGGUCCUUAUCUACAUCUCAGGGAUUACGCCACCUCUGUUUACUUAAAAAGAAGGGACACUGAAUGCAGUAAAGCCAGUCACACUGAGACCCUUGAUUUUACACCUAUAGUUGCCCCUACGUGAAAACAUCUGGUCCACUCAUGGGAAAGUCUAUGGUGCCACUGAUGGGAGUCAUAAUUAAAUGAAAGUUUAAAACCUGGAGAGAUAUUUUCUUAUCUGGUUGUCUGAUUGUUUCUUAGGGAUAAUCUAGGUUAAAUGUGUGUCUAAAAAAAAAAUAAUUUUUUAUUGUAACAAUCUGGUAUCUAAAUGGGUUUCUAAAGCAUUGCACUAUCUUGCAGUUAAAAGUUGGGUGUAAGCAAUUGUUUAGUUUGAUUUCAGAUAGUUCAUGCUAGAAAACUUAAAUACUUGGGAUAAAAAAAUUAAAGAGUUUCAAUUUUGAACUGGGUAGCCUGAAAAGAAAUUAAAACGUUGGUCUGGCUCAUAAAAAUGACAUUAGAUAAUUAAAUAGCAAUAGUCUUAGAAAUUUUCAAAGCUUAAUUUCAGAUAUAUAUGGUAGUGUGUGAGCAAAUUUAAUGUAACUCAAUGCUACUUUAGGAACUUUAGAACAAGCAAAGUGGCUUAGAGGUACUAAAGAAAUUUCUUCUGAUGGUAGAGGUCCUAUUUCCAGUUUUAUGUGAACAAGUUUUUCUAAUGUACAAAGAUAUGAAAUUUUAAAUUUUGGGAAUUACUUCUUAAAUUUGUAUCAUAAUUUUCAACAUCUAAACCUGGAAAUAUAACUUGAAGUAAAUUGUAUGGUAUUUACUAACUACUGGCCAGUCAUCUUUUUUUUUUAGGACUCUUGUUUUUUCUUAGAUUUUGUAUUUUUUUGAGCUCGUGAUUCUGAUCCUGCAGACCUAGGUUAAUGUUUUUCUGAUCAGUGAAGUUUAAAAAAAAAAAAAAAAAAAAACACAAAAACAUUGCAAUGGAGAUUUCAUCUGCGAAAAGCUACGAGGCCUUUAUUAUUGUUAUGUGUGCACACUCUUGUUAUGUGUUGUAUGUCGGUAUGUCUGUAUGUGUGUAUGUCCAUAUAUCCUGCAGUGAUAUAACAAUUGACAGAUGAGGAGCGCUCAUAAAAAAUAAAAAAAAUUAAAAAUAGAUCCAAAUAUCUUUAAUUCACGUGAUUCAAACGGUUCAAUUUAGAUUGGGUAAACAGAUAAAAGUAAAGAUGUCCUCAAAAUUAAGCUUAUAAGUUUCUCUAGGUGUUCAAAAAGGCCCUAAUAAAAUGUUAACUCUGCUUAAAUUUAAAAGUUUACAAGUAUUGUUUCAAAAUGUGAACAAAAGGAGGUUUAUGUAAUUAUGGUGUUAUUAAUGUGUUCAUAUCUUCCAGGUAUACAAGUCUGUAAGGUAGAAGCUUCAAAAGAACAUUAUAUCAAGCUGGUGUUCUAAAGUUGUAUGGUAAUUUUAGGCUUAAAAAAAAAAUAUGUUAGAGAUUCAAUUAUAUCAUUUGUGUUCUAUAACUGAACUUGUUAUCAAUAAGAUAUGUACUGUUCCAUGUUACUUUCUACUCUAAGAUACAAUUUAUGUAUUUUUAAGUUAAUAAGAACCUAAUCUGUGUGAAGGUUUUAUUGCAAAACACAAAAGUACAUUACUACUUUUCUACAAGAGGUUAAAAGCUUUCAGCCUUUAAUUCAUGUUUUAAGUGUGAUAUUAUGUUGUGUUAGCUAAAGUUCAUGUAAACUUGAACAACAAUUUAUGUAAACUUUGUAAAAUGAUCAGCUUCAGAACUAUAGUACUUGAGAUUUAUAAAGAGCCCUGCCUUACUUGAGAUAAGGCUCUGUCCCAUCUCACUACAUGUGAAAAUGGCUAUGAAAGAAGUAAGCCAGAUUUCAGUACAGUUAAAGUUGUGUCCAAAAGUAGGUUUUUGCCAAGAUUACUAGGAUCUCAAACAGGAAAUUAUGAUGUAUAACCCUGCCAGAAUUCAAGGUAGCUAUUAUAUAAGCUAAAUAUGUUUUUACCCUAGCUAGUUUUGUUUUGUAGUUUGCUUAUAGAUGGUUUAAGGAUUGCCUGUUAAUGUUUUAAAGAGAUAUUGCUUUAAGAACACAACCUGGGUCAACAUAAGAUAAGGAGUUAUCACCUACAGGAUAAAGAGAUAGACAUUAAAGCCCAGUGCUCUUAAUAUAAGGCUGUUAACUUAUUUGCUGGAUGUUUAAGAUCAAGUUUUUAAAAUUAGUUAAAUUAAAAGGGCCAAAAAACCCCAAUAUUUGGCUCUUGCCCUCUGAGUCAGUCUGAAUCAGGGAAUAGGGGACUUCUCCAAAGGGCUCAGCAACUCUAGGCCACAUAACCUCCUGAGCAGGGAGAUUAAUGAGACCAGUGGAGGACAGAAAGCCAAUCGGUACAUUUGCUGUAAAGAGGAGGGUCAUUAAAAAAGGGAGACAUCCCUGAUGCUUCUGAGGGAAGCCAUAUGGUCAAGCAAGGCCUGGACCCAUCCUAGCGCAAAUGACACUAGCAGAACUGAAAAGCUGCUAUGAAGUUCCCGAAGACUCCCAGGAUAACUCAGCUGACUGUAAACAAUAGGUAGAAACAAAAGUCAGUUUGACUUGCUUCAUCUUAAACACUUAGCAAAGACAGUCAAAGCCAAAGCACAGCUGUUCCUGGACAUCUUAAAUGAUAAUAAUAGUUAAAUGUAACUUCCAUAAAUAAGUAGACUGGAGGCUACAAAAGAGAUUCUUAGACAGAAAUGCCUGAUAACUGUCAAGGGGACUGCUAGAGUAGUUUUAGUCUAAGGCCUUUAUUUCUAGCCAACGCAGGUAGGCUUGAUGUUUGCUAAUAUGGUUAUCCAGCCCUAAGUAGCAGAAUUAAAGAUUUCUCUAUUAGACACAGAGGUCAUACUAGUAAAAGGAUUUUGCAGGAUCAGAUGGCAUUAAAUUAUUAAACUAUAUCUUAAAGGAAAAGACAUCUGUAACCCUACAUGUUAGUUGUUGUGUUGACAUCCCUGACAUUUCUGACAAUGUGACAAAUAUCCUUAAAGAUUUACCUGCUCAGAUGGAAGCCAUGUCCUCAGCAACUUUUUCGUGGAAACAAUAUCCUAGCUCCUAGUUCCUGGUACUGCCUGAUAGAAAACAUUGUUAAUCUUUGUCUUGGCCAUUAUACUCAUUGGCAUAUUUCUGUGCUGUGGCAUUUAUUACUGCAUCAAUAUGGUUCCAGUACUAAUAAGAUCUUGUUUCUCUUAUAGACCACCCAUCACUCAAAUGGCCCUCCAACCUAUUACUUCUCAAUUAGACUUUCAUCAUGGACCACUCGAUAGACCCGAUAUUUUUAAGGGGGACUCCAAACUGCUUGCCCCACGCCGUCCCUUUUCAGCCUGAAGAAGCCAGAAAGAUUCUCUUCGUCCCCCUUCCUCACAGCAGAACCUAUAGUGAAAAACAAGUUUACCCUUUAAGUGACCUAUAUGCUGGAUUCAAAAGAGCCAAUGAGAUACCUGUUACUGUGCUAGGAGGAAAACUGACCACUGUACCCUAUGAAAGAUCUGUACCCCAAAGCCCGGUGUGCCAGUUCACCGAAGCUCCGGCUGAGGUUUCGCUGAGCACCCGCAGGCGCCUGUGUAUCAAUAAAUCGCCUCUUGUU